CAUUUUGCAGGCCAUUCGACUUAAGUAUCUGCAUCCAGAUGGUGAACUCCAAAACUAUGCUUUGAAUAUUAUUGGUAUGCUUCACGGCGAUACAUCAGUUGACGCCCAUGCACUGGCAUGCGUUCUCUACAUCUUACGAGUAGGUGUCACCGAUCAAAUGUUGGAACCUACUCAAAGGAGCUUCUCUGUGGUCCUAGGAAAGCAGCUUCAGUCUCCAGAUGCUAGUCCAUCCAUGAAAAUUGCUGCUCUUCGCACCUUGUCAUAUACCUUAAAAACACUGGGAGAAGUAAGAGUUACUACUUUAAAUUUU